rnacentral:lncRNA from 1 species
CUGGAGGAGGGCCUUAUGAGGAGUUCAUGAACAUCAAGAAGGCAGUUAAUUGGUUAUCAGAAGACUAAGAAAAGUGGCUUCCACAAAGCUUCAGAGAGCCAGAAGCAAUAGUGUGGCUUUUGGAGCCACAAGUACACCAGGUGCAGCUUUUCUUACUUCCUCUGCAGUGGGUCACAAUCUUGGCAGCCCAUUUAGAAUCACCUGCUUUUAAAAAUCACCAACUGGCUGGGCCUCAUACCCUAGGAUACUUAUUAAAGGGGCCUGGUGUGGGGCCCAGCCAUUGGUAUUUUAUAGUCUAUCCCUAGAUCAUCAUAAAAUGGGGCCAGCUACGUCAGAGCAUUUGGCUCUUGACUUAGCAUUACAAGCAGAGGGAGAUUAGGUAACAAGGGUGGGGUGGUUCUUGCCAUGGACCUUGCAUAAGUUGAUGCUCCAGAAAGAUUUCUUGACAGAGUGAUUCUAAACCAAGUUGCUAUUUUUGUUGGUAUCUUUCUGGUACAUUUGUUUUCUGUUAUGGAAUUAAACCUGCGCUCCGAGCCUCCUGUUUCAUUGAGGUCAGCUUCUGCUUAUGAGAUAUUUUGUGUUCUUUCCUUAUCCAAAUAGUGCACCCAUAGUAAAUCUGUGUGCCACUUUUGCUGUUGAGUUAUUUUAAAUCUGUUAAUGGUUUCUUGUCUAUGUUUUUCUUUUCCUUUCUUUUUGGAUAAGGUCUUGCUCUGUCACCCAGGCUGGAGUGCAGUGGUGUGACCUCGGCUUACUGCAGCCUCGAACUCCCAGGCUCAAGCGAUCCUCUCACCUCAGCCUCCCCAGGAGCUGGGACUACAGGAGGUACAGAGAGACAAGUGUGAUAUCCCUGCCCACCAGAUUCAAAACAGACAACUGCAUGGAGAGAGUGCUCACUCACUUGCCAUGUCAGGCGAUCCAGUGAAUGUUGGAACCACCUUCAUGAAGUGGACAUAGCUGGAAGGCAGAGGUAAAGGCACACAUUGGGUAGGAAAUGUGGAAUGAAUAUAUUUGCCCUUGGGAAAAACCUAAGGAAGAAGUUUGACAUCUAGAGC